UACGUAGGGGGCUAGCGUUGUCCGGAAUCAUUGGGCGUAAAGCGCGUGUAGGCGGUCCGGUAAGUCCGCUGUGAAAGUCGGGGGCUCAACCCUUGGAAGCCGGCCGAUACUGUCGGACUAGAGUCCGGAAGAGGCGAGUGGAAUUCCCGGUGUAGCGGUGAAAUGCGCAGAUAUCGGGAGGAACACCAAUGGCGAAGGCAGCUCGCUGGGACGGUACUGACGCUGAGGCGCGAAAGCGUGGGGAGCAAACAGG
rnacentral:rRNA from 1 species